CUCUGACGGCAGUGCCUGUGAUAUCUCCAAGUAUUCCUGUGGACCGCUUUGUGGUGCCCGCGAGCAAUUUAUCUUCAUCCCCUUCUAAUUCUUCCUAGCCACAAGGAAAUGCCUGACGAAGCCACGAAAUACUAUGUUAGAUAAGAGGUUCCUUGUUGAGCAAGUCUGGCGCGGGGUCAAGUGUGAGCCGUGGUACGACCUCAAGGAGCGUAUGAACGACACGACGCAGCCCAUGGCCCCGCAGCACCACCACCACCGAUCCAGGUUAAAUAAGGUGCAGCUGGAAACGAAAGGAUUGU
rnacentral:lncRNA from 1 species